rnacentral:rRNA from 2 species
GAUGAACGCUAGCUACAGGCUUAACACAUGCAAGUCGAGGGGCAGCAUGAACUUAGCUUGCUAAGUUUGAUGGCGACCGGCGCACGGGUGAGUAACACGUAUCCAACCUGCCGAUGACUCGGGGAUAGCCUUUCGAAAGAAAGAUUAAUACCCGAUGGCAUAGUUCUUCCGCAUGGUAGAACUAUUAAAGAAUUUCGGUCAUCGAUGGGGAUGCGUUCCAUUAGGUUGUUGGCGGGGUAACGGCCCACCAAGCCUUCGAUGGAUAGGGGUUCUGAGAGGAAGGUCCCCCACAUUGGAACUGAGACACGGUCCAAACUCCUACGGGAGGCAGCAGUGAGGAAUAUUGGUCAAUGGACGAGAGUCUGAACCAGCCAAGUAGCGUGAAGGAUGACUGCCCUAUGGGUUGUAAACUUCUUUUAUACGGGAAUAAAGUGAGGCACGUGUGCCUUUUUGUAUGUACCGUAUGAAUAAGGAUCGGCUAACUCCGUG